rnacentral:lncRNA from 10 species
ACAUGAGGGCAGUUUCACUGACAGUUUAUGCAGGCAGGGGGAGGUAAGCUCAUAUAACCUUGUUCCUUACGGAGGUGUAGAAAAUCUGUAGCAUGAUGUAAUGUUCUUAUUCUUGUUCUUUCAGUGUUUUAUUAAAUAUGCAAAUAUUAACCUACUCAAUCCUCAUAAAAACUCAGUGGUGAACUGACUGUUGGCCUGGCAGAUGAGAAGUUUUACUCCCCCACUCUCCAGUGAAACUGGUGAAAAGUAUUUUUAAAGGCAAGCUUGGCUUGCUCACAGAAAGCAUGAAGGUCAGUGAACAUGGUUCGAGCAAUAUGCGUGAGGAGGAGAGUGGGGUGACAUGAGCAAUAAGGGAAUUAAGAAUGGGUCAAUGAAAUAUACAGCUCCUUUCUGGAAUGUACCUGUUCUGCUACAACCAUGGAUAUCCUGACCUUUCUGUGCCUUUCAGGGACAAGGGUAAUAGAGGAGUUUCAGACUCCCUCUAAAACAAAACAACAACUGAACAAUAAACAACAGAAAAAGAACACAAAAAAAGACGGUGGUACUCUUUCCCCUUUCCUUGCUUUCUCCUGCUACCAAAACAAACAACAAAAACUACAUUGUCUCAUUGGAUGACGAAGCUAAAAUUUUGUAGCAAAUCUAUAGAAGAAAAGAAGUGGAAAUCUACUCAAGAGCUACUGUAAAACACUGUAUACAAAACAACCACUUUGAUUCACAUUAAAAAGUGUUAUCUGUUUCUUUGAAUUCAUAAG